AUAAUGAUACUCCCGUCCAGUCACAGUCCGAGUGUAAGCAUCCUUGCAGGAUAUGAAAGCAUCGCAGGCAAUGAGGGCGGCUUUGUCAGAACGGCAAAGGGGUGAGAUUCCCGUG
rnacentral:ncRNA from 1 species